AAGCCGCCUAUGAUGGCGCCCAUUUCCUGCUUCCGGGUUCUUCCCGGCCUGAACAAGCCCGCCAAAUUGUCAUAUCUGCCCAGUUACCCGUGACGCUAGCCUAUCAGCUUGUUAGGCGCGCUUCUCUGUGAUUGGAUACUGCUUCCCCUUAUAAGAGGUUGUUCCUGCCCCCAACGGCGGAAGAGGAAUCAACACCGAGGGUGGCGGACCUUGUCAGGUCCGGUUCGCUGUACGUAAUAAAGUUUGAGAGCUGAUCCUGCUCGAGUUUGGUCUCCUGUCUCCCGCGGCUCCGGUCAUCUGGUGGCCCCCGUACGGGGAAAAAGGUAAAAGACUCAGCGACGUGCCUCUUCGGCCGGGAGGUGCGAUUGCUGUCGCCUGCGGUACGACGGAGGACCUGGCCCAAUAACAACGGAAGGCCGCGAGCACCUCUUCUCUUCACCCUGAUCAGCUACGUGAGAUACAGCGGUUCCCGGGACAGCCCGACAGGCUUUUGAUAGAGCUCGAUCGGAAUGCUCAGAGGAGCCUGGAGCCACUGCCGAUUGUGGGUCUCCGGAGGACCCUCAGGGCUCUAAUUCUGAUUCGGAUUCGGAAGGUUCAGAAGAGGAGGUUGUCUUCGCUAAACAGGACCCUCCUGCACAGCUUAAAGAGGAAUUCAGGGCUCGGGAAGAUAAAAAGGGGAACCAAACACCACCCUGCUCGAGCUACUCCGCCUUACGGGAGGAGCUUAAGCCCUUCCGCCCUUUGGCAAGUUCACGGUCCUUCCACCAGAGGGUAUGGUCGCGGCUUCCCUUUGAGUGUUCCGGUCUCCAUGCAUUCCCGGUACAAGUAGGAGGCAGGGGAGGAGGAGGAUAUUAUGAGCCCUUAGAAAUUAAACAACUUAAAACUAUCAAGGACGCAGUUUCAGCUUAUGGGCCCAAUGCGCCAUUUACCAUGGUGCUUUUAGAGGCAUUGGCAGGUCUGCUUUUAACUCCUGGAGAUUGGACCCAGCUGGCACGCGCCUGCCUCUCCCCUGGACAAUAUUUAGAUUGGAAGUCCUGGAAUGAGGAAUUCUGUGUAGAGCAGGCGGCAGCCAACAGGGAAAAUAACCAGAGAGAGUGGAACAGGGAUAUGCUAUUAGGGCGAGGAGCCUUUGAGGAAGAUCAAACUCAAUACCCUCGCCAGGUUUAUGAACAAAUUAGCCGCUGUGGCCUCCAGGCCUGGAGAUGGCUGGCUGGAAAGGGAGAACAUACGGGUCACCUUACAAAAAUUAUACAAGGGCAGGGAGAGCCAUUUUCAGACUUUGUGGCCCGCAUGCUUGAGGCCGCUAACAGGAUUUUUCCAGAUGCUGAGGCGGCUCACCCUCUCAUAAAACAAUUGAUUUUUGAACAGUGCACUAAGGAGUGCCGUGAUGUCCUAAGAACUAACAAAAAUAGGUCCUUAGAAGAGUGGACAUGCCUGUGCCGUGAAUUGGGUGGCCACGGCCUAACGCCCAAAGGAAGAAUAUCAUUGGCACUCUUUACCAUAAAUUUUUUAAACCUUAAUCAUAAAAAUCAUUCCCCUGCCAUGGAACAUAGCAAUCCGUCCCCGGCCGACAAAGGGCUGGUGAGAUGGAAAGAUGUCCUUACAGGACAAUGGAUGGGCCCGGAUCCAGUGGUUAGCUGGACCCGAGGUGCGGUUUGUGUUUUCCCACAGGAACCAGGCUGCGAACCGCUGUGGGUCCCGGAAAGAUUGACGCGAGCAGGAAACUCCCCACCAGUUCCUGAUAAAGCACAGGAGGAUAAGCCCGCGGACACAAGUCAACUCGACCCUUCUGGGACCGACGCUCAGCGCCCGAGACCAUCUACAAACUAAAAUGUCUGGUUUGGAGUUUUUUCUAUUCUGUGGGUUCCUAUUAAUCACCCCUGUGAUAUGCUCAGAUUCCACAGAACCACCACAAUAUCUUUGGGGUCCUUGGCACCACCCGCCUACAUUGGCACCUUUUUCGGCGGCCUCGCCCGCCUCACCCAGGGUUUACACCAUCAAUCAAACAGUCCUUGAUUAUGCUAAUUGCCAUGGCUAUCCUAGUAGGGCUUGUGGUUAUUAAAUGCUUGUUAGAUCGCCUCAUACAAACUCAGCAGCAGGUUAAGAUCACAGCUAUGGCAGCCAUGCAAAUGGCAGCAGGUGGCCCAUCAGGCCAGCAGGCCGCCGCAUAUCUCCUUCACAUUGCAGAACAUCAGCUAUAAGAGCUGAGUGGGCAAGCCAAUGACGGGUAAGACGGGAAAAGCCCUCCCGGUCAACCUAAGACAGGCUCCACUCAGAUAUACAUGGCCUAUAAGGCCAGGGGUCCCUCCCGGAGUCAAAUUAUUGGCAUUGAGAUGCGAGACCAAGGGUACUGCAGUGCCAUCCGCCCCAAAGGUUGGGGGGAAGGCAGGAAUGAAUGUCUAUAUGCAUCCAGGUUCGGUUCACAAAAGCCUGGCCCUGCGAAAAAAUGAACCACUCACCUUGAGCAUGGUCCUGGCGCAAGGAUAUGCACAAAACAGGGUGAUGCACAGCAGGGUAUAGACCUCUACAUUCUCUCAUGCCUCGGCCUACAAGGUAGGCCCACUCCUAGGUGUCUAACAGCAACAAGGUCAUAGACACCUUGGAGGGACCUACAGACCAUCCUAUUUUAAUAAAUAAAAAAGGGGGAGAUGUGGGAAGCCGCCUAUGAUGGCGCCCAUUUCCUGCUUCCGGGUUCUUCCCGGCCUGAACAAGCCCGCCAAAUUGUCAUAUCUGCCCAGUUACCCGUGACGCUAGCCUAUCAGCUUGUUAGGCGCGCUUCUCUGUGAUUGGAUACUGCUUCCCCUUAUAAGAGGUUGUUCCUGCCCCCAACGGCGGAAGAGGAAUCAACACCGAGGGUGGCGGACCUUGUCAGGUCCGGUUCGCUGUACGUAAUAAAGUUUGAGAGCUGA